CCUACGGGAGGCAGCAGUGGGGGAUAUUGCACAAUGGGGGGAACCCUGAUGCAGCGACGCCGCGUGGGUGAAGAAGCGCCUCGGCGCUUAAAGCCCUGUCAGCAGGGAAGAAAAGGACGGUACCUGAAGAAGAAGCCCCGGCGAACUACGUGCCAGCAGCCGCGGUAAUACGUAGGGGGCAAGCGUUAUCCGGAUUUACUGGGUGUAAAGGGGUCGCAGACGGCGAUGCAAGCCAGGAGUGAAAGCCCGGGGACCAACCCCGGGACUGCUCUUGGAACUGCGUUGCUGGAGUGCAGGAGGGGCAGGCGGAAUUCCUGGUGUAGCGGUGAAAUGCGUAGAUAUCAGGAGGAACACCGGUGGCGAAGGCGGCCUGCUGGACUGCAACUGACGUUGAGGCCCGAAAGCGUGGGGAGCAAACAGGAUUAGAUACCCUGGUAGUC
rnacentral:rRNA from 1 species